UUGAACGCUGGCGGCAUGCUUUACACAUGCAAGUCGAACGGUAGAGGGGCAACCCUUGAGAGUGGCGAACGGGUGAGUAAUAUAUCGGAACGUGCCCAGUCGUGGGGGAUAACGCAGCGAAAGCUGCGCUAAUACCGCAUACGAUCUAUGGAUGAAAGCGGGGGAUCGCAAGACCUCGCGCGAUUGGAGCGGCCGAUAUCAGAUUAGGUAGUUGGUGGGGUAAAAGCCCACCAAGCCGACGAUCUGUAGCUG
rnacentral:rRNA from 1 species